GUGCCAGCCGCCGCGGUAAUACCGGCAGCCCGAGUGAUGGCCGAUCUUAUUGGGCCUAAAGCGUCCGUAGCUGGGUCUGAAAGUCCAUCGGGAAAUCCACUCGCUCAACGAGUGGCCGUCCGGUGGAAACUCCACACCUUGGGACCGGAAGGCUCGAAGGGUACGGCCGGGGUAGGAGUGAAAUCCUGUAAUCCCGUCCGGACCACCGAGGGCGAAAGCACUUCGAGAAAACGUAUCCGACAGGGAGGGACGAAAGCGAAGGUCGUGAACCGGAUAAGAUACCCGGUAGUCC
rnacentral:rRNA from 1 species